GGUUAAGCGACUAAGCGUACACGGUGGAUGCCCUGGCAGUCAGAGGCGAUGAAGGACGUGCUAAUCUGCGAUAAGCGUCGGUAAGGUGAUAUGAACCGUUAUAACCGGCGAUUUCCGAAUGGGGAAACCCAGUGUGUUUCGACACACUAUCAUUAACUGAAUCCAUAGGUUAAUGAGGCGAACCGGGGGAACUGAAACAUCUAAGUACCCCGAGGAAAAGAAAUCAACCGAGAUUCCCCCAGUAGCGGCGAGCGAACGGGGAGCAGCCCAGAGCCUGAAUCAGUGUGUGUGUUAGUGGAAGCGUCUGGAAAGGCGCGCGAUACAGGGUGACAGCCCCGUACACAAAAAUACACAUACUGUGAGCUCGAUGAGUAGGGCGGGACACGUGGUAUCCUGUCUGAAUAUGGGGGGGCCAUCCUCCAAGGCUAAAUACUCCUGACUGACCGAUAGUGAACCAGUACCGUGAGGGAAAGGCGAAAAGAACCCCGGCGAGGGGAGUGAAAAAGAACCUGAAACCGUGUACGUACAAGCAGUGGGAGCACGCUUAGG
rnacentral:rRNA from 1 species